rnacentral:rRNA from 1 species
AUUGAACGCUGGCGGCAUGCUUUACACAUGCAAGUCGAGCGGCAGCGCGGGGGCAACCCUGGCGGCGAGCGGCGAACGGGUGAGUAAUGCAUCGGAACGUAUCCUCGAGUGGGGGAUAACCCAGCGAAGGUUGGGCUAAUACCGCAUGAGCUCUGAGGAGGAAAGCGGGGGACCUGCGAGGGCCUCGCGCUGGAGGAGCGGCCGAUGUCCGAUUAGCUAGUUGGUGGGGUAAAGGCUUACCAAGGCGACGAUCGGUAGCUGGUCUGAGAGGAUGAUCAGCCACACUGGGACUGAGACACGGCCCAGACUCCUACGGGAGGCAGCAGUGGGGAAUUUUGGACAAUGGGGGCAACCCUGAUCCAGCCAUGCCGCGUGAGUGAAGAAGGCCUUCGGGUUGUAAAGCUCUUUCGGACGGAACGAAAUGGGCGGGACUAAUACUCCUGUCUGAUGACGGUACCGUAAGAAGAAGCACCGGCUAACUACGUG